rnacentral:rRNA from 1 species
UAGGGAAUAUUGGACAAUGGGUGCAAGCCUGAUCCAGCCAUGCCGCGUGCAGGAAGAAAGCCUUCUGGGUUGUAAACUGCUUUUUUCAGGGGAUAAAAUACCGGUGCGCCGGGAAUUGCAAGUACCUGGAGAAUAAGCCACGGCUAACUACGUGCCAGCAGCCGCGGUAAUACGUAGGUGGCAAGCGUUGUCCGGAUUUAUUGGGUUUAAAGGGUGCGUAGGCGGUGAUUUAAGUCAGUGGUGAAAUACGGCAGCUUAACUGUCGAGGUGCCAUUGAUACUGGGUCACUUGAGUACUGAUGAGGUAGGCGGAAUGGACGGUGUAGCGGUGAAAUGCUUAGAGAUCGUCCAGAACACCGAUAGCGAAGGCAGCUUACUAAGGAGUAACUGACGCUGAGGCACGAAAGUGUGGGGAUCAAACAGG